AUGAUUUGUGGAUUCUACUCAUUCACAUCCCCAAAUGUGACACAUUUUCUCAGUACACUGAGUCUUGUGGCAGUUACUGGGAUGAACCCAGGCAGCCACCAGGUAUUAGGGCAGAGGUGCCCAGUCAGCAGCUGGAAAACACUUCCACAGAGCCAUCCAAGUGGACCAACUGAGUGCCUCCAAAAAGCCAUGAGCUUAAAUUUUAACUCUGGACACCAGAAAGCAUGGAUUCAACAGAAGCAUAAAUUUGGUAGGAAAGAGUAGUUAAGCUGUGAGCAAGAGACCCAGGAAAUAGUGUGCCACAGGUUGUUUUAGUGCCUGCCCUUUCGCUGCCCUGAAUUCUGAGCAGAUACACUCAAAUGUUAAUCCUGCAUAGACAGCUCUUCCUCCAAGGUCAGCAGGCUGUUCUUGGAAGGGCUUGGUACGGGCAUUUCCUGUACAAAGGUACAGUUACUGUUGAAAUGGACGUCUCUUUUACCUGAGAACGGGAGUUUUUCACAUGAAAUCAGACAAUUGUGUUCCAUAUGACUUCAUCGGUUUAGAAUUUAAAUCCCUUUUUAAUGCAAUUUUGUAUAUGUUAUUCCCAAUUGUAAAACAUACUUAAUUAGUCAAGUACAUUUCAAAGUACAUACAGAACUACUUAGGAUGACUCUCCAAGAACACGUCCUGUACAUGUGUAUUGGUUUACCUUGGUAUACAAAUCACUGUAUUCAUUCGCAUACUGUCUUUACUGAACUGGUGUUCUAGAUGAGUACCAAUCCUACAGUUUGAUAACAGGCAAUUUUUUUAUUCUUAUGUUCC
rnacentral:lncRNA from 1 species